UUUUAGUAGCUGUAAAAUAAGACAACAAAGAUGCACUAAUAGUAGAGUAGCCAAGAGGCUAGAAGCUUAUCUUGUUGAAGAAAUACGGAAGCAUCGGGAUUUGGAGUUAGAAAAUCACCUGGAGACGCCACAAAUCUAGGCGGAGCAGCUUGGAUCAACCGCAACCUGGAAAAAGACGGACUAGAAUGAUCAAUGGAAGUGGAAUCUUGUGAAUUAGCCAUGAAAUGGCAGCGGACGAAGGCACCAGGAGGUUAGGCGACUGAUACCAUGUUAGAUACUAUACUAAACACAUGAAUACAUUGAUAGAGAAGAAGAUGAAUUUACAGAGUAAUUUGAUUAUUAUUCCUUAUCUGUUUGAAUCAAUACAUUGAUGAUGUUUAUAUA